rnacentral:sRNA from 1 species
AUAUCUCUCUGUACGGGAAGGAUGAGAAGCUUCGACUAAGGUUCGAUUCGAGCGAAAGCGAGAAAGCGUUGCCGCAGGCAACGACCCGAAGGGCGAAGCGCGCAGCG